GUCCUCAGCCACACUCGCCACCUGGACACCAGCCACCUCCUAUCCUCCUGUUACCUCCUACCCACCCUUGAGCCAGCCGGACCUGCUUCCCAUCCCGUGAGUAGCAUCCUCCCCUCCAAAUCCCCCUUUUUAUCCCCCCCGCCUCUGAGGAUUGGGGAUCUCUUUCCCUGUUGCGACCCCUCUUGGUCCGGUGCCCCAUCUCAGCAUGACUUCUGACCUUUGACUCCCAGGAGGUCCCCACAGCCCCCUGGGGGCUCCCACCGCAUGCCAUCUUCCCGGCAGGACUCAGAUGGUGGUAAGUGUGGGGCAGGGCUCAGGGGGCUGGGGCUGGGCAGAGGAUAGACCCCGUGUGAGCUGACUCAGCCUCCCUCUUGCUCUCUCUCUGAAGCCAACAGUGUGGCGAGCUACGAGAACGAGGGUGCGUCUGGGGCCCCAGGUGCCCUGGUUGCAGGGAGGCUGGGGCCUGGGCUGGGCCCUGCUGAUCGCUGUGUCGUUACCUCAGAGCCCGCCUGUGAGGACGACGAUGAAGACGAGGAGGAGGAUUAUCCCAACGAGGGCUACUUGUGAGUGGCCAGGUGGGGGGGUGGGAGCUCCAGCUGGGGGUCCUUACUCACCUGCCCCUUCACUUGUCCUCAGGGAGGUGCUUCCUGACAGCACGCCAGCGACAGGCACUGCUGUCCCACCGGCUCCCGCGCCCAGCAACCCCGGCCUCCGAGACAGCGCCUUCUCUAGUGAGUUGGCCAUUUCUGACACUCUGCGUUGCGGCCCGUCUGCUCUUCCCUCUCCUGUUAUUUCUUUGAUGCUUGCUGCCCCUCCGCAUUCUCUCUCCUCUCUUUCUAGAACACCUGUCCCUCAGGGCGGACUUCCACUCUGAUCUGCUGGUUUCCUUACUUUUUCUAUCCUCUUUUCUAUUUCUUUGUCUUUCCCUUUUACCGUCUCUGAGAUUUCUCCAACUUCACUAUUCUUUGAGACUCUGUUCUUUUGUCUCUUAUCUGAAAGCUCUUUUCUUGGUCUCUGGUGUUCCUUUUUCAUAGCCUUCUGUUCUUGUUUCACAGAGACAAUACCAUCUUGUACAUUUCUACAGAUAUUGAUUAUAGAUUGUCUUCUCUGAGGGUUUUUUGGGAAGUUUUCUUCUGCUUCCGACAUCAUUUUGGUUUCCUUUGAGCUGCUUUUCUCCCUUCGUGUUCGUCUCACGUUGCCUGUUAGAGACUUCCUUCCACGUUUGGUGACCUUCCAUUUUCUGUCGCUCUCUUCACUUUCCGUACCUGUUCCGGGCCGUUCCUUCUACACCCUGACUUCGUGAGCGAGCUCGAUUCCCAACUCCCCACCUCCCCUGAGCUCAUUUAUUCAUCCAUCCCUCACUUACUCGCCGUGUUUACCGGGUGCCUCUGAUAAAACAGCUCACGAGGUAGUGUCAUGAUAAAGGAGCUCAGCUUGUCAGGGACCUACUACGAGCCUUUCUGAGAGCAUUUCGUGUAUUAACUCAUUAAACCUCAGGAUCCCCAGGUGCUCUUGAGCCCAUCUCUUCCCUUCCUGCACCUCGGUUGUCCUGACUGUACGACAGGAGGGAUCACGUAUCUCAUAGACACUUGGCGGCCCCGUUCAGAUAUUCUCGGCUUUAGUUCUCACGGCGCUCCUGGGAGGUGGGUGCCGCCCCUCACCCUAUUCUACAGAUGAGAACACCGAGGCCCAGAGAGGCUAGGUAGCUUGUGUGAGGUGACACGACUGUCAGUGUGGGAGCUGGGUUGGCACCUGGGCUCUCUGGCUCCAAAGCCUGCCUCGUCCACGGCCUCGUGGAGAAACAAGUCCGCAUGAAGGGACAAGAUAGGUGGGAGGCACCCGGGUGGCUCAGUCACUUAGGCGUCCAACUCUCGAUCCCGUCUCAGGUCUUGAUCUCGGGGUCGUGAGUUCAGGUCCCACGUUGGGCUCCGUGCUUGGUGGGGAGCCUACUUUAAGUAGGACAAGAUGGCACCGAUGGCUCCAGGUGCUGGAAGACACCAGGAUGGGAGCGGGGGUCAGGGCAGGCCUGGCCGACGGGGCCAGUGGGGCGACGGCACCUCAGACUCGGCACCCCACAAGCGUUGUCUCACACGUGCCACCCAGCGCCAUGGCUCCGAGCUGCUCUCUGCCCCUGCCCCCAGCCUGGCCGACAUGCUGUCUGUUCUCCCCCACACUUCCACUCCCUCUCAUCCGCUCUGGGCACGUUGCCCUACUUCUCUCCAUCAUCAGGGCCUCUGUGGGACCCUCUGGGGCUGGCUGCGGGGCGGCCUCUGGGGUCUGUGCUCGGGGCUCUGGGUGACAGUGCCGGGGGCCCUGCUUCUCCUGCAGUGGAGUCGGGGGAGGAUUACGUGAACGUCCCCGAGAGCGAGGAGAGUGCAGACGUGUCUCUGGGUGAGUGGCCGGUGCCCCCUAGGGUCCCCCUUCCCUCCCCCACCCUCACCUGCUGUGGCCCUCUUUCUGAGUGUCCUGUUCUCUCACCCUCCACGUGGCCGUCCCCCCUUCUGAUCUGUCCCUGCAGAUGGGAGCCGGGAAUACGUGAAUGUGUCCCAGGAGCUGCCACCCGUGGCUAGGACCGAGCCUGGUGUGUGCUGGGAUGGGGGGUGGCAGGGGCUUGGGGUAACGUGAAAGGUAAUGUGCCCGGGGCAGGAGGGACGGUCUGUGAGCUUAAGACUGAUCUCUUUCCCCUUCCAGCCAUCCUGAGCUCCCAGAACGACGACGAGGAAGAGGGAGCUCCAGAUUAUGAGAAUCUGCAGGGGCUUAACUGAGGGUCCGGUGAGAGGCCCUGCCCACCCUUCCGCGGCCCCUCAGCCCUAUCCUCCGACUCCUUCGGGGACCCCUCGGACCCCCACUGACCUCCUGACAUUGCAACCCCUCCCUCUCCCUGUCCUGUUGUUUCAGCGCGAGGCCAUGCCUGUCCUCGAACCAGCCUUGCUCGGGAGUGCCGAGCUGGGCAGCUGGCAGUGGCUCUGGGGGACCCUCCUAGGCACCCCACCCUGACUGCAGCCUGA
rnacentral:lncRNA from 1 species